ACAUUGCACAUUCUCAGUAAAGGUUUCUGGAAUUAAUCCAUGGUUGUCACCAGCAGCAUGAUAAGAGCAAGAAGCCAUUUCACCAUCCAGAGAAGAGGAAAGACUGUUUUUCUCUUCAGAGUUUCCAGUCCCUGAGGAAAAAAGGCCAGCAAGGAAGCAUGGAGUAUAACACAAUUUAGAAAAUGCCCUGGGGAAAAACCAGAAGGAAGAUCAAGAAAAGGAAGAGGAAGAGCAGCAAGUCAAUGUUCUAAGGUAGCAGACCACCACCGACUCCACUUCUGAUGGUUUUAUGUGCUGGUGAUCCAACUGAUGGCUCUUCCAGGCCCUUCUUUGCCUCAGAAGUCCCUUGUUUAUGCCUGCAUUUGACGUUUGUCUUAGACAGUCUCACCACCAAGAGACAUGAGAAAAAGCCAUCGAAUUCAAAUCAAUAAAACUGUACUUCUUAUCCUUUUAAGAGGAGGGCUGGAAGAAUUAAAUACUUGACCAUAAUAAUAAUAGCAUUUAUUAAGCACUUA